rnacentral:rRNA from 1 species
UGUCCGGAAUUAUUGGGCGUAAAGAGCUUGUAGGCGGUCUGUCGAGUCUGCUGUGAAAAUCCGGGGCUCAACCCCGGACUUGCAGUGGGUACGGGCAGACUAGAGUGUGGUAGGGGAGACUGGAAUUCCUGGUGUAGCGGUGAAAUGCGCAGAUAUCAGGAGGAACACCGAUGGCGAAGGCAGGUCUCUGGGCCACUACUGACGCUGAGAAGCGAAAGCAUGGGGAGCGAACAGG